CCUACGGGUGGCAGCAGUGAGGAAUAUUGGUCAAUGGGCGCGAGCCUGAACCAGCCAAGUAGCGUGCAGGAUGACUGCCCUACGGGUUGUAAACUUCUUUUAUAAAGGAAUAAAGCGAGGCACGUGUGCCGUUUUGUAUGUACUUUAUGAAUAAGGAUCGGCUAACUCCGUGCCAGCAGCCGCGGUAAUACGGAGGAUCCGAGCGUUAUCCGGAUUUAUUGGGUUUAAAGGGAGCGUAGAUGGGUUGUUAAGUCAGUUGUGAAAGGUUGCGGCUCAACCGUAAAACUGCAAUUGAUACUGGCAGUCUUGAGUACAGUUGAGGUAGGCGGAAUGCGUGGUGUAGCGGUGAAAUGGUUAGAUAUCACGCAGAACUCCGAUUGCGAAGGCAGCUUACUAAACUGCCACUGACAUUGAUGCUCGAAAGUGUGGGUAUCAAACAGGAUUAGAUACCCUAGUAGUC
rnacentral:rRNA from 1 species